rnacentral:rRNA from 1 species
AUUGAACGCUGGCGGCAUGCCUUACACAUGCAAGUCGAACGGCAGCACGGGAGCAAUCCUGGUGGCGAGUGGCGAACGGGUGAGUAAUACAUCGGAACGUGCCAAAUCGUGGGGGAUAACGCAGCGAAAGCUGUGCUAAUACCGCAUAAGAUCUACGGAUGAAAGCGAGGGGACCGCAAGGCCUUGCGCGAAUGGAGCGG